GCUCGAGUGGCGAACGGGUGACUAACACGUGGGUGAUCUGCCCUGCACUUUGGGAUAAGCCUGGGAAACUGGGUCUAAUACCGGAUAGGACCACGGUCUGCAUGGAUUGUGGUGGAAAGCUUUUGCGGUGUGGGAUGGGCCCGCGGCCUAUCAGCUUGUUGGUGGGGUGAUGGCCUACCAAGGCGACGACGGGUAGCCGGCCUGAGAGGGUGACCGGCCACACUGGGACUGAGAUACGGCCCAGACUCCUACGGGAGGCAGCAGUGGGGAAUAUUGCACAAUGGGCGCAAGCCUGAUGCAGCGACGCCGCGUGAGGGAUGACGGCCUUCGGGUUGUAAACCUCUUUCAGCACAGACGAAGCGCAAGUGACGGUAUGUGCAGAAGAAGGACCGGCCAACUACGUGCCAGCAGCCGCGGUAAUACGUAGGGUCCGAGCGUUGUCCGGAAUUACUG
rnacentral:rRNA from 1 species